UAGGGCUCAUUCCCAGUUGCAAGACAGUGCUGGUGGCUACCAACAGAGGCCAAAUUCAGCCGGGUGUCUCAGAAGCAUCAGGGCAGCCCCUUUUAGCUCUUAGCUCAGUUCAUGACACAGCCUGCACUUUAGAGAGAUUCCUUUGCACUUUGAGAAGCAACUACUGAACACAGCAGCAGCAUUCACCUCUUUAAUUGAUGUUUCAAAGAAGAGAAAUGCAUCAUCAGUUUUCCUCUUGUGAAGCUCCCGAGAAAAGAAGAAUUUCCUAAAUCCUGAAGCAAAGAAGCAUAAACUAGUGAGUGCAAAGGCAGAAAAAAGCAGUAACAUUCUGGAGAUAAAAUGCAAAGUGAAAUGAGAAAAGGUGCUCAAGAGGCCAUGACACUUUGGGAACCAAAAGAACUUGGAGUUUUGAGUGCAUUAUUUGGUAAGCAGCUGAAAGGUUCAGACAGCAAGCUAUGAGGAAGCAGGCAGAUUUCAUAAUACUUACAUGAAAAUAGCAAGAGUUGAUGAAAAUGUGGCUUCUUUGUUCUUUUAUGCCUUCCAAUUUGAAACCCUUUCACCAUAAAAUAUCAAUGGCAUGGAAAGGAUUACUUCCUCACAAGCCACAAAUCAAGUAAUCAUCUACUUCAAUAGUUCUUGAAGGAGGUAAAAAAUAUUACAAACUCAAAUUAGACUGAAGAAUUUAAAGUUGCUGGAAUAGCCUCUUUCUUCUGUUUUGUGAGCUUGAUUGCAAGAAGGAUGUCAACUAAGAAUAAAACUAUUCAGACAAGGAAAGCAAAUACGCAACAGGGAGUUGUGAGCCAUCACUGGGAUACAGCCUGCAAACCAUCAUCACUUUGCCAGUGGUCCAGCAGACCACAGGUAUGAACAGGAGAGGAUCUGAAAGAGGCUGAAUUUCAUCUCUUUCCUUUGUAUUUGCAGUGGAUUAGGAAUAGAAACACAGACAUGGUCAGGUUCAGUGCUGUGAGAAGCAUGUUUAGAUUGAGGAAUAGUAAAUGACAACAUCUUAUCUUGGCUUCUUACAAGUGUCUAAUCUUUGAUUGUUGCACACAGAUCUACAGAACUGGAUUUAGAGACUUAGAGAAUAUGCAGCAUUCAACCUUGGGUAGGAAAAAGUCUAGUACUAUGAAUAAGUGAAAAAAAAAAUAUGGUUUAGGCUAUACAGGAGCUCAUUAUCUUCUUGAUCCUUAAUAUAAGACUCUGAAAUUAGAAAGUUGUAAAUGUAAAAUGAACAAACAGAAAAGAACACAGCUAUGCACCAUAUGGACCUGUGGAACUCAUCACCACAGAAGGUCAGAAGUGUUAAAAUGUAGAUUUUCAAAGAUUUUCAUGAUGACCAUGUAUCGCACCAGUAAUGACGUGAUACUUACUAACUUAAUAGUUUAUUCUACCUCAAAAUUUCUAAUCUGAUUGCUUACCAAAUUAACACAAUUUCCUCCCCUUCUCUUGCAGUGAAAUGAUAUUGUACCUCUACUUUGGAGGGGAUUAUUUUUUUUCUCCUAGAAACAACAAUCAAACACCUGAAAAGAGUGAGAAGUUCUGCUAUACUGAGGUUUCUCCUUUGCAAAGUCAAAAAAGAUCCCUACACAUUUUUUGAAAAUAAAAAGGCCUGUGAAAAUUC